rnacentral:rRNA from 1 species
CCUAAGGUAGCGAAAUUCCUUGUCGGGUAAGUUCCGACCUGCACGAAUGGCGUAACGACUUCCCCACUGUCUCGACCAGGAGCUCGGCGAAAUUGCAGUACGAGUAAAGAUGCUCGUUAAGCGCAGAAGGACGAAAAGACCCCGGGACCUUUACUAUACCUUGGUAUUGGCAUUCGGUGUGGAUUGUGUAGCAUAGGCGGAAGGCUUCGAAGCCACGGCGCCAGCCGCGGUGGAGCCGCAAGGUGAAAUACCGCUCUGUUCGCAUUGGAUGUCUAACCUCGACCAGUCAUCCUGGUCAGGGACAGUGCCUGGCGGGUAGUUUAACUGGGGCGGUUGCCUCCCAAAGAGUAACGGAGGCGCUCAAAGGUUCCCUCAGCCCGGUUGGCAAUCGGGUGGCGAGUGUAAGUGCACAAGGGAGCUUGACUGCGAGACUGACGGGUCGAGCAGGGACGAAAGUCGGAACUAGUGAUCCGGUGCCGGUGUACGGACGCGGCAUCGCUCAACGGAUAAAAGGUACCCCGGGGAUAACAGGCUGAUCAUUCCCAAGAGUCCAUAUCGACGGGAUGGUUUGGCACCUCGAUGUCGGCUCGUCGCAUCCUGGGGCUGGAGCAGGUCCCAAGGGUUCGGCUGUUCGCCGAUUAAAGCGGCACGCGAGCUGGGUUCAGAACGUCGUGAGACAGUUUGGUCUCUAUCCUCUGCGCUCGUCGGAAUGUUGAGGAGGCCUGCCCAUAGUACGAGAGGACCUGGGUGGACGAACCUCUGGUAUGCCGGUUGUCACGCCAGUGGCACGGCCGGUUGGCUACGUUCGGAAGGGAUAACCGCUGAAAGCAUCUAAGCGGGAAGCCUGCUCCAAGAUAAGCAUUCCAUAGGACUACGGGUCCUUGAAGUCCCCAUGCAGAACACGUGGUUGAUAGGCCGGACGUGGAAGCCCCGCGAGGGGUGGAGCCGACCGGUACUAACGGACGAAAGGCAACACAAU